rnacentral:rRNA from 1 species
UACGUAGGGACCAAGCGUUGUUCGGAUUUACUGGGCGUAAAGGGCGCGUAGGCGGCGUGACAAGUCACUUGUGAAAUCUCUGAGCUUAACUCAGAACGGCCAAGUGAAACUGUUGUGCUAGAGUGCAGAAGGGGCAAUCGGAAUUCUUGGUGUAGCGGUGAAAUGCGUAGAUAUCAAGAGGAACACCGGUGGCGAAGGCGGAUCUCUGGACCAGUUCUGACACUGAUGAGCGAAAGCCAGGGGAGCAAACAGG